CCUACGGGCGGCAGCAGUCGAGAAUCAUUCACAAUGGGGGAAACCCUGAUGGUGCGACGCCGCGUGGGGGAAUGAAGGUCUUCGGAUUGUAAACCCCUGUCAUGUGGGAGCAAAUUAAAAAGAUAGUACCACAAGAGGAAGAGACGGCUAACUCUGUGCCAGCAGCCGCGGUAAUACAGAGGUCUCAAGCGUUGUUCGGAAGCACUGGGCGUAAAGCGUGCGUAGGCUGUUUCGUAAGUCGUGUGUGAAAGGCGCGGGCUCAACCCGCGGACGGCACAUGAUACUGCGAGACUAGAGUGAUGGAGGGGGAACCGGAAUGCUCGGUGUAGCAGUGAAAUGCGUAGAUAUCGAGAGGAACACUCGUGGCGAAGGCGGGUUCCUGGACAUUAACUGACGCUGAGGCACGAAGGCCAGGGGAGCGAAAGGGAUUAGAUACCCCAGUAGUC
rnacentral:rRNA from 1 species